UUCACACGUGUGCUCUUCCGGUACAGUCUCGCGGUAAAAUCCUUUAGCCUUUUGCAUUAAAACUUUCAUACAACGUUACUCUGCCCAAAAGUUCAGCGAACUUAAAAUCCAUUUUGUCAUACUAAGUUUAAGAUCUUACAAAGUG